UGAGAGGUAGUUUAAAAAGAAUGUAAGGUUGUCAGUCUUAUGGUGUCGUAAUAGACUCUCUUAG
rnacentral:tRNA from 2 species